rnacentral:rRNA from 1 species
UACAGAGACUGCAAGCGUUAUUCGGAUUCACUGGGCGUAAAGGGUGCGUAGGCGGCCAUGUGUGUGAGGGGUGAAAGCCUGGAGCUUAACUCCAGAAUUGCGCCUCAAACUACAUGGCUAGAGCAUUGGAGAGGGUAGCAGAAUUCAUGGUGUAGCAGUGAAAUGCGUAGAUAUCAUGAGGAAUACCAGAGGCGAAGGCGGCUACCUGGACAAUUGCUGACGCUCAGGCACGAAAGCGUGGGGAGCAAACGGG